UACGAAGGGAGCUAGCGUUGUUCGGAAUUACUGGGCGUAAAGGGCGCGUAGGCGGGUUUCCAAGUCGGGGGUGAAAUUCCAGGGCUCAACCCUGGGACGGCCUUCGAUACUGGGAGCCUGGAGAUCGGGAGAGGUGAGUGGAAUUCCGAGUGUAGAGGUGAAAUUCGUAGAUAUUCGCAAGAACACCAGUGGCGAAGGCGGCUCACUGGCCCGGUACCGACGCUGAGGUGCGAAAGCGUGGGGAGCAAACAGG
rnacentral:rRNA from 1 species